GUGCUUGCUUCGGCAGCACGUACACUAAAACUGGAACAAUACAAAGAAAAUUAGCUUGGUCCCUNUUCAAGGAUGACACACAAAUUUGUGAAGCAUCCCAUUAUUUU
rnacentral:snRNA from 1 species